UAUUAGGAAUGUAUACAUUUGUCAUGUUUUUGUGAUCAGCACAAAUUAUGAGCAUUACAGCAAUGGUCUAGACUACACCUGUGUGUUGAUCUGAGAAAUGCUCAAAUUAUUUUUAGCAAAACUUGUGACGUGACUUUUACUGUUAGUCUAUUUUGAUUGCCAGACAGUUAUUUGCUGUAAAACCUUUUAGUCUGAUUGCUUAUUGCCCUUUUAUUACUUACCCCAUAUUUCUUUGCCUAUGUUCUUGAUUAUAUCAUGAUUUUGAUAUUUCUUCCUCUCCACUGCUUGCAAUGUUU